GACGAACGCUGGCGGCGUGCUUAACACAUGCAAGUCGAACGGAAAGGCCUCUUUCGGGGGGUACUCGAGUGGCGAACGGGUGAGUAACACGUGAGUAACCUGCCCUUUACUUUGGGAUAACUUCAGGAAACUGGGGCUAAUACCGGAUAGGAGCUCCUGCUGCAUGGUGGGGGUUGGAAAGUUUCGGCGGUUGGGGAUGGACUCGCGGCUUAUCCGCUUGUUGGUGGGGUAGUGGCUUACCAAGGCUUUGACGGGUAGCCGGCCUGAGAGGGUGACCGGCCACAUUGGGACUGAGAUACGGCCCAGACUCCUACGGGAGGCAGCAGUGGGGAAUAUUGCACAAUGGGUGGAAGCCUGAUGCAGCAACGCCGUGUGCGGGAUGACGGCCUUCGGGUUGUAAACCGAUUUCGCUCAUGACGAAGCUUUGUGUGACGGUAGUGGGUAAAGAAGCACCGGCUAACUACGUG
rnacentral:rRNA from 1 species